rnacentral:misc_RNA from 1 species
AACAGAUUUUGGACCUUUGCAACUGUAAGGAAGAUGUGAGGAAGAGGGUUCACACGGUGAUAGACAAGUAUGCGGAACGUGGUCUUCGUUCCCUUGCUGUUGCAAGACAGGAAGUCCCAGAGAGGACCAAGGAGAGUGCAGGAGGGCCAUGGCAAUUCGUCGGCUUGCUGCCUCUGUUUGACCCUCCAAGACAUGAUAGUGCGGAAACCAUUCGCAGGGCUCUGCACCUUGGUGUAAAU